UACGUAGGGUGCAAGCGUUGUCCGGAAUUAUUGGGCGUAAAGAGCUUGUAGGUGGUUUGUCGCGUUGUUCGUGAAAUCUCACGGCUCAACUGUGAGCGUGCGGGCGAUACGGGCAGACUAGAGUACUGCAGGGGAGACUGGAAUUCCUGGUGUAGCGGUGGAAUGCGCAGAUAUCAGGAGGAACACCGGUGGCGAAGGCGGGUCUCUGGGCAGUAACUGACGCUGAGAAGCGAAAGCGUGGGGAGCAAACAGG
rnacentral:rRNA from 1 species